AUACGUAGGGGGCGAGCGUUGUCCGGAAUUAUUGGGCGUAAAGGGUUCGCAGGCGGUCUGAUAAGUCAGAUGUGAAAGGCAAUGGCUCAACCAUUGUAAGCAUUUGAAACUGUCAGACUUGAGUUAAGGAGAGGAAAGUGGAAUUCCUAGUGUAGCGGUGAAAUGCGUAGAUAUUAGGAGGAAUACCAGUGGCGAAGGCGACUUUCUGGACUUAUACUGACGCUGAGGAACGAAAGCGUGGGGAGCAAACAGGAUUAGAUACCCUGGUAGUCCACGCCGUAAACGAUGAGUGCUAGGUGUUGGGGGUCAAACCUCGGUGCCGCAGCUAACGCAUUAAGCACUCCGCCUGGGGAGUACGUACGCAAGUAUGAAACUCAAAGGAAUUGACGGGG
rnacentral:rRNA from 1 species